GUCCAGAAAAGAACAGCAGCACACACACUAAAACUGGAAUGAUAGAGAAGAUGAGCAUGCACUCUGUGCGAGAGUGGCAUGCAAAUUCAUGAGGCAUUCCAUAUUUUU